UACGAAGGGGCUAGCGUUGCUCGGAAUCACUGGGCGUAAAGGGUGCGUAGGCGGGUCUUUUAAGUCAGGGGUGAAAUCCUGGAGCUCAACUCCAGAAUUGCCUUUGAUACUGCAUGGCUUGAAUCCAGGAGAGGUGAGUGGAAUUCCGAGUGUAGAGGUGAAAUUCGUAGAUAGUUCGGAAGAACACCAGUGGCGAAGGGCGGCUCACUGGCCCGAUACGUGACGCUGAGGCACGAAAGCGUGGGGAGCAAACAGG
rnacentral:rRNA from 1 species